UGACGAGUCAAAUGUCAGGCCGAAGAACGUCCGGUUUGCAUCCGGAAGGCCGCGGGUUCAAAUCCCGCCCGGUCCACCA
rnacentral:tRNA from 1 species